rnacentral:rRNA from 1 species
GAUCAUGGCUCAGGACGAACGCUGGCGGCGCGCCUAACACAUGCAAGUCGAACAAGAGAGAAGGAGCUUGCUUCUUCGAUCGAGUGGCGAACGGGUGAGUAACGCGUGAGGAACCUGCCUCAAAGAGGGGGACAACAGUUGGAAACGACUGCUAAUACCGCAUAAGCCCACGGGUCGGCAUCGACCUGGGGGAAAAGGAGCAAUCCGCUUUGAGAUGGCCUCGCGUCCGAUUAGCUAGUUGG